rnacentral:tRNA from 1 species
GCAGUCGUAGCCGAGUGGUUAAGGCGAUGGGCUAGAAAUACAUUGGGGUCUCCCCGCACAGGUUCGAAUCCUGUCGACUGCG